rnacentral:lncRNA from 1 species
UCUGCUGUUACAAAUAAAGUUCAGGAACAUUGGUGACUAAUUUUAGUGUUGCAUCAACCUAACUGACUGUAAGUCUUCUGUCUUAAACACAGACCAAAUCAGGCCAGGCUUGCCCCAGUAAGCAACCAACUACACGUCCCAUUUCUUUAGGGUGUGAUAACAUCAAGAAUAUAAACAGUAAAAUUGAUGUUCCACAUGAAAGGCAGCCAUUUCAGCCAGGUAGAAGAGCUUUCUCUCAAGAUAACCAUCACAUUUCAUUAUGCAGAAGUAUAUGAAAGGAUAUUACUUCCAGUUUCUCUAGGUUCAAAAGAAAGAGGAGUGAAGAGGAGUAAAACACACAUCUAUUAAAAAGCAAGAAGAUUAAAUAAAUUGAAGCUUUUUAUUUCUCUUUCUCUGCCUAAGUGACGCAUUUGUGAGCAUGACUGUCAAAGAAGCAAAUAAGCAUGUAGAAGGUGACUUUAUGGCGGCAUCCAUAAAGAAAAUUGAAGUGGGGGAAGUGGCAACGUUUUGGGUAAUUCAGGAAAGUGAGGGAAAUAUAUAGUUUGGAUUCUGAAUUAUUUAUUCAGGCUUUCUAUGUUAAUCCAAUCCAUCUUAGUUGUUACUCAAUUUUACAUUUCCUGUGUAGCUGUAGGCUGUAAUAUGUUCCUUUUAGUGUGAUCCUAGUAGA